rnacentral:tRNA from 1 species
UCCCUGCUGGCUCAGAUGGUAAAGCGUCUGCCUGCAAUUCGGGAGACCCAGGUUCGAUCCUGGGUUGGGAA